rnacentral:rRNA from 1 species
UCCGUACGAGCGCAACCCUUGUCCUUAGUUGCUAGCAGGUAAUGCUGAGAACUCUAAGGAGACUGCCGGUGACAAACCGGAGGAAGGUGGGGACGACGUCAAGUCAUCAUGGCCCUUAUGGGCAGGGCUACACACGUGCUACAAUGGCCGGUACAGAGGGCAGCGAAGCCGCGAGGUGGAGCGAAUCUCAGAAAACCGGUCGUAGUCCGGAUUGCAGUCUGCAACUCGACUGCAUGAAGCCGGAAUCGCUAGUAAUCGCGGAUCAGAACGCCGCGGUGAAUACGUUCCCGGGCCUUGUACACACCGCCCGUCACACCAUGGGAGUGGGUUGCUCCAGAAGUAGGUAGCUUAACCUUAGGGAGGGCGCUUACCACGGAGUGAUUCAUGACUGGGGUGAAGUCGUAACAAGGUAGCCCUAGGGGAACCUGGGGCUGGAUCACCUCCUU